rnacentral:rRNA from 1 species
AUUGAACGCUGGCGGCAUGCUUUACACAUGCAAGUCGGACGGCAGCACAGAGAAGCUUGCUUCUUGGGUGGCGAGUGGCGCACGGGUGAGUAAUAUAUCGGAACGUACCGAGUAAUGGGGGAUAACUAAUCGAAAGAUUAGCUAAUACCGCAUAUUCUCUGAGGAGGAAAGCAGGGGACCUUCGGGCCUUGCGUUAUUCGAGCGGCCGAUAUCUGAUUAGCUAGUUGGUGGGGUAAAGGCCUACCAAGGCGACGAUCAGUAGCGGGUCUGAGAGGAUGAUCCGCCACACUGGGACUGAGACACGGCCCAGACUCCUACGGGAGGCAGCAGUGGGGAAUUUUGGACAAUGGGCGCAAGCCUGAUCCAGCCAUGCCGCGUGUCUGAAGAAGGCCUUCGGGUUGUAAAGGACUUUUGUCAGGGAAGAAAAGGCUGUUGCUAAUAUCGACAGCUGAUGACGGUACCUGAAGAAUAAGCACCGGCUAACUACGUG